rnacentral:rRNA from 1 species
CGCUAAAAAGCUAGCCCCCCACCCUAAGAACAACAAACCCCUAUUAAUACCCCCCAAUGCACUACGAUCCUCACUGAAUCAAACCAUUCUUCCCUCCUAGUAUAGGCGAUAGAAAAGAGACACGUUGGAGCUACAGAGAAAGUACCGCAAGGGAAUGCUGAAAGAGUAGUGAAAAAAUCCAGUAAAGCUUGAAAAAGCAAAGAUUCCAACUUGUACCUUUUGCAUCAUGAUUUAGCUAGUAACCUCCAAGCAAAGUGCACUUUAGUUUGGUACCCCGAAACUAAGUGAGCUACUCCAAGACAGCCUAUUAGCAGGGCAAACCCGUCUCUGUGGCAAAAGAGUGGGAAGAGCUUUGAGUAGCGGUGACAGACCUAUCGAACUUAGUUAUAGCUGGUUGCCUGAGAAAUGGAUAAAAGUUCAGCCUCCCGGCUUCAUGCUUUCCCCACCCAAACCCAACUACCCUUAGAUACCCUAAUGAAACCGAGAGAGUUAGUCAGAGGGGGUACAGCCCCUUUGACACAAGACACAACUUUGACAGAAGGCUAAAGAUCAAA